AUGGGAAAAAAGGAACCUGAAUCCACAAGCAAUACUGUUCCAAUUGUCUCCAACAAGAAAAUAGUGCCAAACCCCACGAUCAAUCUGGCGGCAGCUGGAGCUGGAAAGGGGCACCGGCCUUUCAGUGGAGCAAUGGGCCUUCGACUUGUCUGGCUACAUAAAUUUAGCAUGAUGGUGGCCACUGGCCAAAGCUGGGUGCCGCGGCAACACACCAGGGCCGGGCCACAGCUCCGAUUACGCUGUUGUGAAGCAGUCUCAUGUCUCCCUUUUUCUGCAUUUCUCUUUCUGUACAUUAAUCAGUUGGGAUUAACCAUUAAGGCUACUGCAGUUGAUGCCUAG
rnacentral:rRNA from 1 species